CAGCUAGUGUGUUGACCGUGAAGUACACAGACACCAGAAAUAGCCAUCAUUCAGGUUCAAUAAGUCACAAACUUGUAGACGGUCAAAGAUUGCAUGACCUCCAGCUCCAACAAUUUAUAAACUCAAAAAUUGAUAGUAAAGGAGUCAAGGCAGGCUGCUGCCCACAUCUUUCUAAAACCACCAAUGCCCAUAGCCCCAUACCCUAGUUCUAGUUGUGGCUCAUUUUAGCAACUUAUUUGUCAGUUAAUUUACAAAAUGGAAAUUAAAUUACA